UUAUAUUUGCCUAAAUGCUACUUAGCCAAG
rnacentral:piRNA from 1 species